AACGCACAUUGCGCCCGCCAGUAUUCUGGCGGGCAUGCCUGUUCGAGCGUCAUUUCAACCCUCAAGCCCUCGGGUUUGGUGUUGGGGAUCGAGCUGUACUCCAGCCCGGCCCCGAAAUCUAGUGGCGGUCUCGCUGCAGCCUCCAUUGCGUAGUAGCUAACACCUCGCAACUGGAACGCGGCGCGGCCAAGCCGUUAAACCCCCAACUUCUGAAUGUUGACCUCGGAUCAGGUAGGAAUACCCGCUGAACUUAA
rnacentral:misc_RNA from 1 species